rnacentral:rRNA from 1 species
CCUACGGGUGGCAGCAGUGGGGAAUAUUGCACAAUGGGGGAAACCCUGACGCAGCGACGCCGCGUGAGUGAAGAAGUAUUUCGGUAUGUAAAGCUCUAUCAGCAGGGAAGAAGAAAGACGGUACCUGACUAAGAAGCCCCGGCUAACUACGUGCCAGCAGCCGCGGUAUUACGUAGGGGGCAAGCGUUAUCGGGAUUUACUGGGUGUAAAGGGAGCGUAGACGGGAGUGCAAGUCUGAAGUGAAAGGCCAGGGCUCAACCCUGGGACUGCUUUGGAAACUGUGGAGCUAGAGUGCUGGAGGGGUAAGUGGAAUUCCGGGGGUAGCGGUGAAAUGCGUAGAGAUUAGGAGGAACACCAGUGGCGAAGGCGGGUUACUGGACAGUAACUGACGUUGAGGCUCGAAAGCGUGGGGAGCAAACAGGAUUAGAUACCCUUGUAGUC